rnacentral:rRNA from 1 species
UCGGGAAUUUUGGGCAAUGGGGGAAACCCUGACCCAGCAACGCCGCGUGAAGGAUGAAGUAUUUCGGUAUGUAAACUUCGUAAGAAUAGGAAGAAUAAAUGACGGUACUAUUUGUAAGGUCCGGCUAACUACGUGCCAGCAGCCGCGGUAAUACGUAGGGACCAAGCGUUGUUCGGAUUUACUGGGCGUAAAGGGCGCGUAGGCGGUGUGUCAAGUCAGUUGUGAAAUCUCCGAGCUUAACUCGGAACGGUCAACUGAUACUGUCACACUAGAGUACAGAAGGGGCAAUCGGAAUUCUUGGUGUAGCGGUGAAAUGCGUAGAUAUCAAGAGGAACACCUGAGGUGAAGACGGGUUGCUGGGCUGACACUGACGCUGAGGCGCGAAAGCCAGGGGAGCAAACGGGAUUAGAUACCCAUGUAGUCCCUGAGCGGGCUGGCAAGGCGCAU